rnacentral:rRNA from 1 species
CGGUAACUUUUGGUGCUUGCACCGAAAGACGAGUGGCGAACGGGUGCGUAACGCGUAUGCAAUCUGCCUUUUACUAGGGUAUAGCCCAGAGAAAUUUGGAUUAAUCCCCUAUAAUAUCAUUUAAUCGCAUGAUUUUAUGAUUAAAGCUUCGGCGGUAAAAGAUGAGCAUGCGUCCUAUUAGUUAGUAGGUGAGGUAACGGCUCACCUAGACUCCGAUAGGUAGGGGUCCUGAGAGGGAGAUCCCCCACACUGGUACUGAGACACGGACCAGACUCCUACGGGAGGCAGCAGUGAGGAAUAUUGGACAAUGGACGAAAGUCUGAUCCAGCUAUGCCGCGUGCAGGAUGACGGCCCCUAUGGGUUGUAAACUGCUUUUAUACAGGAAGAAAAACUCCGACGUGUCGGAACUUGA